CCACUUUUUAUUUUUGCCCUCUGGUGGCAAAGAUAAUUGCAAUGUGACAACUUACUUGUGUGACAACAAGCCCCGGUCUCCCCUAUUUGAGAAUCAGGCCAUCCAGUUAAGAUAAAUGUAAUGUUGUUAGUUGUUAAAAUCUGGAUGAAAGAUUUUUUUUUUUUAUUUAGCUUUUUUAUUUUUCAAUUUUCCCCUUGAGGGAUUGCCACCCUAUUGUAGUCAGGGGGUUUGUGUGCCUCAGCGACCCUAAGAGCUAUACCAGCAGGAGCUUUAGUCUUCAGGUGGGACACCCAAGUUUAACAGGUCUUAGGGUAGAGGCCUGACAGAGUGCUGACAGAAUCACAUUAAUGGUGGUUCAUCUUUGUAUGUUUUGUUUCCCUGAGCUUUCCGUUUUUCUAAUUUUUCCUGCAGAGAGAGAAAAGGAAGACCACGCGAAGGAGAGAGGAGAGGAAAGGAUAGCAAGGGAAAGGAUAGGAGAAGAGGCAGGAGGGCCAAUAGUUUCAACUGUCACUGUAAAAGGUAUUUAUUAAUACUCGUUUACUUUAUCAUAGUUUAGUUGAUGCAAACCUCUAUCAUUUCCAUCAAAUGUAAUUUCUUCCUAGUGCUUAUACUUUCUUUGAUUUAAUUUUACUGACAGAGACAGAAAAGAGAGGAGAGGAAAGCAGAGGAGAGGAGGUGGGAGGGAAAAAGGUUCAAACUUUAAAUUUGAAAGGUAUUUAUCUAUUAACUUAUUUUUAUCAACACUAUUAAUGCAAUCAUAACAAUCCUCCCUCUGGUGUCUGACUUUCUUCAUGAUAACUUUGCCUCCUGUUCUUUUCUGGACUCAUUGAUAGAUUUAUGAACUGAACUCUUGAGGACAGGGAGAGGAGGUUUGAGAACUAGAAAAAAAGGGAGCAGCUGAGCCUACAGGGAAGUCUCCAGGUAAGUGCUGAAAAAGUAAAUGUGAAGGAGUUGUUGCAUGAGUUUAAUGAGGAGCUGUAUGUGGAUAAGUAAAAACAUUCCAUUAAAGAAGAACAGACUGACCUGAUAUAACAGAACGUUUUUUAAAUACUGCACAUUAUAAAGCUUUUGUUAAAUUAUUAUUAUUUUUUAAGAUUAAACAUUUGUUUUUUAUGUUUUUUUUUUCAGGGAAGGACAAAGCAAAGAGUAGAAGAGAGGAGGAGGUGAAGGAGAGGAGGCGGGAGGGCCAAAGGUUUCAACUGUCAAUGUAAUACUUGUUUACUUUAUCAUAGUUUAGUUGAUGCAAACCUCUAUCAUUCCUAUCAUGUGUAGUUUUUUCUGGCACUUAAACUUUCUUUGCUUUAAUUUUACUGACAGAGACAAAAAAGAGAGAAGAGGAGAGGAGAAAAAAGGAGAGGAGAGGAGGAAAGACAGGGUUUUUCCUGCGUUCAAAAUUGCGUGGCGGCCGCCUCCACCUAAUUUUGUGCCGCCCCCAGCCAGAGCGAUUGAUUUCGCUCAACACAGCGUAAAGCUCCAGCUGUGUUGAUUGAGUGUAUGAUGUCCCUCUGCAGCAGCAACGUAUUUUAACUGCAGUUGCAGCGUUGCGCCACUAUAGAGGCGCUAUAUCAACAGCAGUGCACCGGAAAGACCUGAAGCAUCUAUCUACCGAAGAAGAAACGGAUCGAAUCAUGUUUUUUCAAGUUUUUUUCCCGCUAGUUGGUGCUAUCGGCGACCUGAUUUUCCCCGGCGGCUGGUACAAACAGGUAAAUACUGCUUGUCUUUUUUGCAUCCAAGCAUGACGUGUUUAUUAAAAAAAAAGUUUCCUCCGUUUUUUUAGCGUUGCAGAUAUGACAGGCAAAAUCAGCCUUUAAAAAGCGACCUCGCGAGGAGGAAAGUCAAGAGUCCAGGUGAAACAAAGCAGAGAAAAAACGUAACAGGCAGUUAAAAUGUUAUAACUCAUGGUGGGGACAACGUGGACAUUUGUGUCAGGUCUGAAAGUACUUAACAAGGGACUGGUGAUCGCGAGGGUCAGAAUGCAGGACAGGACGAGUCGGCGAGGCGAGGGUAAUUAAUUAAUUAGUUUCCAAUUAGGAGCAUAACAACGCAAAACCAACGUGUACGUGGUUUUUAUUCCUCUGUCUAGAUCUUCUCAAAAACACAGAGCCAGUGGCUUUGACAAGCAGUGGCUCAAUCAAUUUACCUGGCUCAGGCAUACUGAGGAAGGCAUGCACUGCUAUUUAUGCCAAAAGCACUGUGCCCCAACACAGCAGGCAAUUGCUGCCUCCUUAGUGAGACAGCCAUCAACCAACUACAGGCUGGACACAUUAAAAAGACAUGAGGUGACAGCCAUUCACAAAGCAGCAGAAGAGAAGGAGAAAUAUAUUAAAGAUGGUAGUACCUAAAAACACUCAACUAAUAAAGUUACAAAAAAUAAAAUAACAUAGUUUAGAUAGUUUAAGAAAUAAUUGGUUGUCGUUUUUUUAGGGAGGACACUGCAACGUACACAUAUAUAUAAUAUAUGAUUGAAAACGCUAUCACUCUUCAUGUCUGUAUCAGAAUAAAAACAAAAAUACUUAAUGCAUGAUGAAUUGUUUUGUUUAAGGUGAAGACACCUCUGCGGAACAGACUGAAGGAGAGGCACUUGGAUGUCUGUUGUAAGGUGGCCGUUGAUGGACCAGACCAGGAGUCCUUGGACUACAAGGAGUGCAUGAGGAGGUUCUACAGAAUGAAAAAGAGGAGGCUGAAAUAGUGCUGGGCGAUUGGACGAUAUAUAUCGUUGGCACGAUAGAAAAUGUCUAUCGUGCCAUUUUUAUUCUUAUCGUUUCGGGCGAUAGGUUGUAUUUAAUCCAUAGAGCUUGUGCCAUCAGAUGAUUCAUAGUAACAACAACAAUAAUUGCACAUUCAGUAAGUGUAUUUGGUGUCGAACGGGAAAGAAAACAAUAUUUUCUUACAAAGAAAAGGAUGCGUUGACAUGUAGGCUUGCAUUUCUCUUUCGAUUUUGCGACAUGACGCCGCUUUACGUGCCCUCUUUAUGUCCAGCGCCUCCCGCCGUUGCGGGUUACCUGGGUUACACACGUGAGGGGAUCAUUGUAAGCAGUGCUUAAUUUGUGCCGGAGCAAGUCGGAGCGCGAUCCGGGACCUCUUUUGAUCGGAUCUGGGACCUAUUUCAGCCGCUCCGGCACCUGUUUCAUCUGCUCCGGGACCUUCCCUGUGGAGGAUGACUUUUUUCGGGAAUUCCCGUGGGUCACGUGAUUCCCGCGGGAUGGGAGUCAUUUUUUUUAUUAAUCUCUUGAUCGGGACGGGACGGGAAAAAAAGCAACGGGAGUGGGCAGGAGCGGGAACAACAUGAAAAGAUGAUCUUUUUCAGCCGUGUUUAACAACCAGAUGAACAGGUGCGUCCAUUUUUGUAGUCAUCUCUCAGUGAGAGUAAACACUCUUGACCGCGCUAGCAACACAAAAGAACUACAACAGUGGUUUGACUUCCUGUCAGCUGGGAGCGCGGCUGCGCAUUUGUACCCUUCAAGCCAGCAGCGAGGAAACGUAAUUUUGUGACAUUCUGUAGUUUUUCAAUCAUUUCUGGAGUCGUGGCGAAUCAAAUCACCUUACCUGUCUGCCCCUGAUAGGCGAAUAAAGCGCUCGGAUUCAUGCUCGGGUCUUGCUACGUGCUUCAAGAGUAAAGUAAACAAUGAUGGAGGCAGAGAGCAGCUUUGGAGGAGAAACAUCUAGCAGUGUGAACAACCUCUUCAAAAGAGCCCUAAAGACCUACCUUUUUAAUAAAGCCUUUGGUUAGUUUUCCUCUAUGCUUUAUGCUUUUACUACCUUGCCUCUUACAUUGCAACUCUAUAUAUUUUAUUUUUUUUAAAUUCUUUUUUAUGCUAAUCUGUGACUGUCAUUCUAUUGCUUUUUUUUAUUGUUGCUGCUCUUUUUUGACUGUGUACUGUAGCACUUUGAGAUUUUUUUGUAAAUGUAAAGUGCACUACAAAUUAAAUUUAUUAUUAUUGUUAUUAUUAUUAUUAUUAUGGAGUGCUUCGGCUCACACUAUCAGCGUUUUCUGUAAGUGUUACAUAACUUUGGGUGAGCACAGACAUGAACGCACUUCAGCCACGUAUUUGUUUAUUCAUUUUUCUAGUUUUAAGUGCUGGUCUUGUACUGGUACUGUACUAGUGCAGCUGUAUACACUUAAAUUUUUCAUAGAACUGAAAGCAUACCAUAGCUAUAUCGUGAUAUAUAUCGUUAUCGUGAUAUAAAAUGAUCCAUAUCGUGAUAUACAUUUUUUUCCAUAUCGCCCAGCACUAGGCUGAAAUGUUCUGUCUGGUUGUGAGAUGUGUGGAUGAAGUGUACUUUCAAUUUAAAGUUGCCAGCUGAUUUGUGUAUGUAUAUAGUUUUAAUAAAUGAAUGCUUUAACAUGAUAAUGGUCACACUCUUUUUUGAACUCUUAACUUAAAGUAUGUUGCCUGUAAAAGAAAGUGAGUCAGUUGAAUUUACAAAUACAUGCACGUCAUGGCGCAUGUUCAGGAUGGUGCCACCUCUGCCUCAAUUUGAGCCAGGAAAAACCCUGAAAGAGGAGAGGUGGUGGGAGGGCCAAAGAUUUUUAAAUCUCACAGAAAAAAGGUACAUGUUUACUAUUUCUUAUUUCCACUGAAUCACAUACAUGGUGGUUCAUCUUUGUAUCUAUUGUUUACCUGAACUUUCAUUCCUCCUAAUUUUUUUCUGCAGAGAGAGAAAAGGUAGACCAAGUGAAGGAGAGAGAAGAGGAAAGGAUGGGAAAGGAGAGGAGAGGGGGUGGUAGGACCAAAGGUUCAAACUUUAAGUUUGAAAGGUAUUUAUCCAAUUACUUAUUGAGAGAGAAAAGGGGCAGAGGAAGAAUUAAAUAUCUUUAACUCCAUCAUGUGUGACUAUCUACUGGAUAUUUAAUUUAAUGCAGUUUCAGUUAUGUUAAUUCGGUCAGGUUGAGUGUCCAAACCCACUCAUCAGAUAAGAUAUAGAUCAGAAUAUAUCGAUAUAGAUCUAAAUUUAGAUUGUUGCACUGAAUAUUGUUUGUUGUUGAUUAUUAUUUGCACUGAAAUGUGCCUGACACUGUGGAAACCUGCCAGUGAGGCAUCGGUG